GACAUCAUCCACUUAAAUCCUAGGCAUCCAAGUAGGUGGGUCGUCGCUCUCCACCGCCCUUGGGGACGAACAACCUCCGGGACAGUAGGGAAAUCAUCUACUUAAAUCCCAGGCAUCUAGGACAGUAGGGACAUCAUCCACUUAGAUCCUAGGCAUCCAAGUAGGUGGGUCGUUGCCCUCCACCACACUUGGGGAAAAACAACCUCUGGAACAGUAGGGAAAUCAUCCACUUAGAUUCCAGGCAUCCAAGUAGGUGGGUCGUCGCCCUCCACCACACUUGGGGAACAUAAACCUCUGGGACAGUAGGGACAUCAUCCACUUAGAUCCCAGGCAUCCAAGUAGGUGGGUCGUCGCCCUCCACCACACUUGGGGAACAUAAACCUCUGGGACAGUAGGGACAUCAUCCACUUAGAUCCCAGGCAUCCAAGUAGGUGGGUCGUCGCCCUCCACCGCACUUGGGGACGAACAAAUAAAAAAUAUUUUCGAAUAAAAACUCCAACCCCUGAGGGUUUUCCAAAGCUGCACCCCUGAGGGUCUUCCUGAUGGUUUACCGGAAGUACGGGCCACCAGGGCAUAGGAAUUCUUUCGAACCAUCUUAUGAAGAUGGUUGUCCAGGCAUCCCGAGGGUGUCAAACAUGUGCCUCGAUUACACAUGAAGACGAAUUCCAAAGCAGCAGGGAGGUUGUCCCUGGUCUUCACGCUCCAAACAAGACA
rnacentral:lncRNA from 1 species